CGGCGUUCUCGGACUCUAAGGACGCCGUGGCUUAGCGCUGGGAGGUGGAGCCGGCGUGCUUUGAGAUCACUCAUUCUGAGGAAGAAAGCUCUCAUGUCAGGAAGACAAUCAUGCAGUUUUGCAGAGAUCCACAUAGUGAGGAACUGAGGUCUCCUGCAACUUGCAAGCCGUAUGUGAGAUUCGAGAGAGCUGUGAGCAACAACACAGAGCUGUG